AUUGAACGCUGGCGGCAGGCUUAACACAUGCAAGUCGAGCGGAUGAAAGUAGCUUGCUACUGAAUUCAGCGGCGGACGGGUGAGUAAUGCUUAGGAAUCUGCCCAUUAAUGGGGGACAACAGUUGGAAACGACUGCUAAUACCGCAUACGCCCUACGGGGGAAAGCAGGGGAUCUUCGGACCUUGCGUUAAUGGAUGAGCCUAAGUCGGAUUAGCUAGUUGGUGGGGUAAAGGCCUACCAAGGCGACGAUCUGUAGCGGGUCUGAGAGGAUGAUCCGCCACACUGGGACUGAGACACGGCCCAGACUCCUACGGGAGGCAGCAGUGGGGAAUAUUGGACAAUGGGCGAAAGCCUGAUCCAGCCAUGCCGCGUGUGUGAAGAAGGCCUUUUGGUUGUAAAGCACUUUAAGCGAGGAGGAGGCUCCCUAGAUUAAUACUCUAGGUGAGUGGACGUUACUCGCAGAAUAAGCACCGGCUAACUCU
rnacentral:rRNA from 1 species